GGCGGGAGCCCGUCACAAAAGAGCCUGGGGAGAUGCAGGUGCUGAGCCUGGCUGCCCCCGCCCCAGUGUGGCCCCUGUGUCCCUGCAGCACGUGGCCGAGGAGCUCCAGCACCUGCUGCAGUGGCUGAUGGGUGCUCCCGCCGGGCUCAAGAUGAACCGUGCACUGGACCAGGUGCUGGGCCGCUUCUUCCUCUACCACAUCCACCUGUGGAUCAGUGAGUGCAGGGCAGGCGGGGGCCCCAGGGACCCCAGAGCUUGCUGAAGAGGGUAGGGACCCAGCCAGACCCCGCCCCCUGUGCCCCCAACUCUGCUCCCCAGCGUCCUGUGUGUGUGAGGCCUGCUGUGCUCAGCUGAGGGCUGGGGCCUGGGCACCUCCUGAGGGCUGACCCCACCCUGCCAGGCUACACGCACCUCAUGUCCUGUGUGUGUGAGGGUUGUGCUGGGCCGAGGGCUGGGGUCUGAGCGCCUCCUGAGGGCCUACCCCACCCUGCCAGGCUACAUCCACCUCAUGUCCCCCUUCGUGGAGCACAUCCUUUGGCACGUGGGCCUCUCGGCCUGCCUGGGCCUGACGGUGGCCCUGUCCCUCCUCUCGGACAUCAUCGCCCUCCUCACCUUCCACAUCUACUGCUUCUACGUCUAUGGAGCCAGGUGGGCGUGGGCUUCCCCCUCCCCACCGCCCCCUGGGAGGUGCAGAGGCUCCGGCUGGGCGUUCGAGUGGGGCGGGGCAGGGCGGGGCAAGCGAGUGGGGCGGGGGCGGGGCGGGGCGCGGCCUGACAGCACUGCGUCCUGUAGGCUGUACUGCCUGAAGAUCCAUGGCCUGUCCUCACUGUGGCGUCUGUUCCGGGGGAAGAAGUGGAACGUUCUGCGCCAGCGCGUGGACUCCUGUUCCUAUGACCUGGACCAGGUAUGGGGCAGGGUUCGUGGCUGGAGGGGCUGACUGCCCCCGGCCUGUGCCCGCUGGGCCAGCGCGGUGCUUGGGCACCACAAGGGGGCAGCCUGCUCCCGUCCUGCAGCUGAGGCCGCGCACAGGCCAUGGGAAUAGAUAAGUCUGCGGUGUGGGCUGCACGUGGGGCUCUGAAGUAGCGCAGAGCUUCCCUGGGCCACAGAGAAGAGACAGACACGCAGCCCCGAAGGUGGUGCAGGCACAGGCCCUAGAGGUGCCCCGGGCUCGGAGACUAGAGGUGCCCCGGCCCGUCUGCUGCUCACUCUUGCUGCAGCCGCUGGAUGCUGCCAUCCAGAGCAUGUUCUUGGUGACUGUGUGGCCACGCACCGUCUUGGGUGGUCUGGCCCCCACCUGUCUCCCUGCAAGUCCCCUAGUAUGUGGGGUGUGGGUGGACAGCCCUCCUGCUACUGGGACUGCUUCUGAGCAGGCCAUCCCGAGUUCCCUCAGGAAGCCGCAAGGUCCCGACUGCAGCUCCGGGAUGGGGGAGGGCACAGUGCUGGGCUGUCCCUGGGCGCGGGGUCCUGCUGAUGCCCGGUGUGCCGGCCCCUCCCUACAGCUGUUCAUCGGGACUCUGCUCUUCACCAUCCUGCUCUUCCUCCUGCCUACCACAGCCCUGUACUACCUGGUGUUCACCCUGGACCCUGCAGCCUCUGGGCCCCCUUCC
rnacentral:sRNA from 1 species